rnacentral:rRNA from 1 species
NNNGACCUCAGAUCAGGCGAGACUACCCGCUGAACUUAAGCAUAUCAAUAAGCGGAGGAAAAGAAACUAACCAGGAUUCCCUUAGUAAUGGCGAACGAACAGGGAACAGCUCAAAUUUUAAAUCUCGGAUGCUUGCGUCCGCGAAUUGUAGUUUCCAGAAACGUUAUCCCCGCGAGGGCGACCGGUCUAAGUUGCUUGGAACAGCAUGUCCGAGAGGGUGAGAAUCCCGUUUUGGACCGGUCGUCCCGCGGCACGAGGCGUUUUCGAAGAGUCGGACUGUUUGGGAUUGCAGUCCAAAACGCGUGGUAAACCCCCCCUAAAGCUAAAUAUUGGCACGAGACCGAUAGCGAACAAGUACCAUGAGGGAAAGA